CCUACGGGAGGCAGCAGUGAGGAAUAUUGGUCAAUGGGCGCGAGCCUGAACCAGCCAAGUCGCGUGAGGGAGGACGGCCCUACGGGUUGUAAACCUCUUUUGCCGGGGAGCAACGGGCGUCACGUGUGGCGCCACUGAGAGUACCCGGAGAAAAAGCAUCGGCAAACUCCGUGCCAGCAGCCGCGGUAAUACGGAGGAUGCGAGCGUUAUCCGGAUUUAUUGGGUUUAAGGGGUGCGUAGGCGGAUCGUUAAGUAAGUGGUAAAAUUGAGGGGCUCAACCCCUUCCCGCCAUUGAAACUGGCGCUCUUGGGUGGCAGAGAAGUAUGCGGAAUGCGUGGUGUCGCGGUGAAAUGCAUAGAUAUCACGCAGAACCCCGAUUGCGAAGGCAGCAUGCCGGCUUCCGACUGACGCUGAGGCACGACAGCGUGGGGUUCGAACAGGAUUGGAUACCCGGGUGGU
rnacentral:rRNA from 1 species